rnacentral:lncRNA from 1 species
GCCGCCGCCGGAUCACUAUCCCUAUCUCGAGCUUUCUGCAACAAAAGUUGCAGGCUCGACAAAAAUCAGUUGAAAAAGGUUUGGUUCAUUCAAUUUUGUUCUUUUAUGAUCUUUUUAGUGGCCUCACUGUUUAGACACUAGCAUACUACUAGAAAUCAUGGAUUUAGUUAACUUGUUUAAACUCAAGUUUGACCACAUAGACAAAAAAUUAUGAAGUAUUGGAGAUUUUAACGAGGAUUGAAUAACAAAAGUCUGUGUGAUAUGAACAAGAGUGCACACGCUGAAAUGUCUUGCUUCUUUACUAAUCAUUGAUAUUAUGUU